rnacentral:misc_RNA from 1 species
GAUGAAGAACGCAGCGAAAUGCGAUACGUAAUGUGAAUUGCAAAUUCAGUGAAUCAUCGAGUCUUUGAACGCACAUUGCGCCCCCUGGUAUUCCGGGGGGCAUGCCUGUCCGAGCGUCAUUGCUGCCCUCAAGCACGGCUUGUGUGUUGGGCCCCGUCCUCCGAUCCCGGGGGACGGGCCCGAAAGGCAGCGGCGGCACCGCGUCCGGUCCUCGAGCGUAUGGGGCUUUGUCACCCGCUCUGUAGGCCCGGCCGGCGCUUGCCGAUCAACCCAAAUUUUUAUCCAGGUUGACCUCGGAUCAGGUAGGGAUACCCGCUGAACUUAAGCAUAUCAAUAAGCGGAGGG